AUUGCGGUGAGCUAGGCAAGGCCUGGCCGCCCGGUCCGCCCACCACCUCUGACUUCCGAGCUCAGAAGGGGUUCGAGGCCACGGCUUUCUGCCCUGGCUCCCUUGCCCUUCACAGAGGCUUUUUAAUUCAGGGAUCCUCAGACAUAGGACUGGGGCCGAGAAGGAGGGUCAGGUUAGUUCUCGGUUCUCAUUGCCCACAGCUCCACACUUAACUCUGGAAAGGCUCAGAAGUUCAGAGCCUCAGGCCCCACCCUAGGCCUCCUGAAGCUGAAUCUGCCUUUGCUCCAGAUGCCAAAGGAUUCCUGUGCAUUCGAGGCUGACAGGUGCUGCUCUAGAGCAGCAGUUCUGAACUUUGGAAACACUGGAAUCACCUGGGGCGGGGGUGGGGCGUAGGUGGUUUGGGCUUGAAUAAAAUAAUUGCUGCUUCUGGUUCCUACCCCCAGCAACUGGUCAGAAACCAUUUGGGGGGCGGGCAGGCUGUGCAGCACGUGGGGUCUUAGCUCCCCGGCCAGGGAUCGAACCCAUCCCCCCUGCAGUGGAAGCGCGGAGUCCUAACUCCUGGACCGCCAGGGAAGUCCCUCAGGGUUUUUAAAACUCUCGGGCAUUUCUAAUGUGCAGUCCAGGUUGAGAUCACUGCUUUCGAGUUCUCGUGAACAAGUAGGCCUCACGCUGGGGGCGUGGAUAUCGGAACUCUGUUUAAUCUGUACCCUCCUCAGGCACAAGGGCUGUUUCCUCUAAAUGGCACAGGGCCUCCAGCCCUUUACUCACCUCCUGGUACUUCUUCACAGACAGCACUGCGUGGAGAAAGCGCAGUCAUGAGUCUCAGGAGAAGGGAGAAGUGGGGGGGGGGAGGGCCACCAACCCGGCAGGACAGCCAGGGCCUUGGCCACUCCCAGUGCCAGCUUGUUGGUGAGGUCUGGGGAGGGGCGAGGAGAAAGGGCCGUACUUGGAGGCCGUGGGGGCAUGUAGUCCUCAGCCCAGGGGUCACAGAAGUAGGGCUGUAGGGAGUCAACGUUGGCCUGACCCACCACGGUCUCCUGGCCGAAGUCCUGGUUGUCCACCACCUUCAGCACCAGGGGCAGCGCGAAGGCCUCAUCCGUAGGCAUGUACUGCAGCCCCAAGGAGAGGCCAGGGCGUGAGGCUUCCCACGAGCCGGGGCUGCCCCAGCCCUGGCCCAAGGCCUUCUCACCAGCGUGAGGAAGAGGGUUGACUGGGUGAAGUUGGGAUUGGUCUGGAAGUCCCUGAUGGGCUCUGUCUGCACGGACUCUUCCCAGCAUUCCACCAGGAGCCGGGGCGAACGCACCUGCUUCAUGUUCCGAAGGCCCCAGACCAGCAUCUGCCGGGACAGAGAGGGAGGGUGGGGGAAGGGGCAGGUGGCCCCUCUGAUGGGGUCCUGGCCUGGGAGCAGUGGGGCCCCAGGGGGCCUGCAGGGCCAGGGCACGAGGCUGGGUGAAGGCAGAGUCUGAAGGCUCACCCAGUCCUGUCCUGUGAGGGACGAGUCCUCCAGGCCUGGACGCUGCCAUCGUUCCUCCACGAGGGAGGUGCCCAUUAGGUAUUGCCCUUCCUCCCCUGCUGCCCAUCUGGCCUCUAAUCAUCUCUCUCAGGGGUGACUUCCCGCUGCCGGCUACCUCCCAGGCCCGCAGCAGCUGGAGUGCCCCGGGGUUCUUGGGCACCUCGGUGCCGUCCAGCUCGUGGCUGACUUGGAUCCCACAGAACUCCACGGCCAGUCAGCGAGCCAGCACCCUGGGAUAUCACUCUCAACGGACAAACACUGGGUGCCCCAGGAGCUGUCCACGCCCUACUCAUUGGGCCGCCUCAGGGCCAGAGUGGAAACCAGCCGGGUGGUCUGAUCUUGGCUCCAGUGCCGGGAGGACCUGACCAUCUUCCGCUCUUUGCCGCAGGGCACGUAGGUUCUGACCUGGGCGCCUCCAUACUACUUUCAGAAGAGGUGAGAAACAUCCUGGCAUUUGGAGUCAGGCAGGGCCGGGCCUAAACUCUGGCGCUGCCACUGAGCCCCUGUGUCACUGUGCGUGGAUGUGUUGUUUCUCAGAGCCUGAAUUUCCGUCUCUGGAAGGUCGUCCCUACUUUUUGCACAAGGGCCUCAUGAGGCUUACAUCCGGUAGGUAACGGAUGCUAAAGCCCUUUGUCUACGACCCACUGCAGAGGUUUGCAUUAAAAUACUUUUAAAUGUUCUAUC
rnacentral:lncRNA from 1 species